rnacentral:rRNA from 1 species
UACGUAGGGGGGCGAGCGUUAUCCGGAUUUACUGGGCGUAAAGCGCGUUAAGGCGGUCGGCAAAGUUGGUUGUGAAAUCUCAGGGCUCAACCCUGAAAUUGCGACCAAUACUGGUCGACUAGAGUGCAAGAGAGGAAGGUGGAAUUCCCGGUGUAGUAGUGAAAUGCGUAGAUAUCGGGAGGAACACCAGUGGCGAAGGCGGCCUUCUGGCUUGUAACUGACGCUGUAGCGCGAAAGCGUGGGGAGCGAACCGG